rnacentral:rRNA from 3 species
GAAGAGUUUGAUCAUGGCUCAGAUUGAACGCUGGCGGCAGGCCUAACACAUGCAAGUCGAACGGUAACAGGAAGCAGCUUGCUGCUUUGCUGACGAGUGGCGGACGGGUGAGUAAUGUCUGGGAAACUGCCUGAUGGAGGGGGAUAACUACUGGAAACGGUGGCUAAUACCGCAUAACGUCGCAAGACCAAAGAGGGGGACCUUCGGGCCUCUUGCCAUCAGAUGUGCCCAGAUGGGAUUAGCUUGUUGGUGAGGUAACGGCUCACCAAGGCGACGAUCCCUAGCUGGUCUGAGAGGAUGACCAGCCACACUGGAACUGAGACACGGUCCAGACUCCUACGGGAGGCAGCAGUGGGGAAUAUUGCACAAUGGGCGCAAGCCUGAUGCAGCCAUGCCGCGUGUAUGAAGAAGGCCUUCGGGUUGUAAAGUACUUUCAGCGGGGAGGAAGGUGUUGUGGUUAAUAACCGCAGCAAUUGACGUUACCCGCAGAAGAAGCACCGGCUAACUCCGUGCCAGCAGCCGCGGUAAUACGGAGGGUGCAAGCGUUAAUCGGAAUUACUGGGCGUAAAGCGCACGCAGGCGGUCUGUCAAGUCGGAUGUGAAAUCCCCGGGCUCAACCUGGGAACUGCAUUCGAAACUGGCAGGCUUGAGUCUUGUAGAGGGGGGUAGAAUUCCAGGUGUAGCGGUGAAAUGCGUAGAGAUCUGGAGGAAUACCGGUGGCGAAGGCGGCCCCCUGGACAAAGACUGACGCUCAGGUGCGAAAGCGUGGGGAGCAAACAGGAUUAGAUACCCUGGUAGUCCACGCCGUAAACGAUGUCUACUUGGAGGUUGUGCCCUUGAGGCGUGGCUUCCGGAGCUAACGCGUUAAGUAGACCGCCUGGGGAGUACGGCCGCAAGGUUAAAACUCAAAUGAAUUGACGGGGGCCCGCACAAGCGGUGGAGCAUGUGGUUUAAUUCGAUGCAACGCGAAGAACCUUACCUGGUCUUGACAUCCACAGAACUUUCCAGAGAUGGAUUGGUGCCUUCGGGAACUGUGAGACAGGUGCUGCAUGGCUGUCGUCAGCUCGUGUUGUGAAAUGUUGGGUUAAGUCCCGCAACGAGCGCAACCCUUAUCCUUUGUUGCCAGCGAUUAGG